CUAACUAAACCCAAAGCAAUUCAGUAUCAAUUCACCUUCAGAUUUUAUUGAUUUCCUAAAUCAAACUCUAUGCUAAUCCAAUUAACCAAUUAAUCAUCAUCAACACUAAUAAACCAGUUUUAUUCAUAACCAAUGGCAAUUAAGAAGAGAAUGUUAAUUAAAAGGGGAUUAGGGCAAAAUUACUUGUGACGUUUCCACUUUGUUCAACACUCUCAGACUCAUCUCUUUCGAACAGAAACGGCGACGGCUCAAGCUUCGUCUCCGAUGAAUGCUGCUCCGAUCACGCUCCGCCGCGGGCUCUCUCGUCUCCUCCGUCUCCGAUCGAGACUCUAACGGCGCCCGUCUUCAAACUCUCAUCUCUCUUCCCGGUCAUCUUUCUCGAUCUCUCUCGCCUAUCUCAAUAUCUCUCGAUUUCGUUUCACUCGGUCUCUCCUUGAUCUCUCGUUCGAUUUGUUCUCUCUCGAUUUAAGGUUCGUUGCCGGACUCUCCGAUUCGCUACUCCGGUGAUGUUUCGAACAAGAGUGACGAUAAAUCCAGAGGAAAAUAUCAGGCACGCGCGUUGAACCUUCUUCUUACUUCUUCAUCUCCUUUCGUUUUCCUUUUGAAUGAUUGUUUUUGUUAUCGCGUUGAUGUAGAUCGAAAAUGAUGAAUGAUUACAGAUGCAUGGAGUUGUUGAAGAAGCGUGACGAAGAUACGUGGUGAUUACGAUGAUUGCAGCAAUUCUUCUGCAGAUUUUUGGUUGAAGAAUGAUUCGGUGAUGACAAUACUACUGACGAUUGUUGAAGAAUAUUCGAUAAGGUUUGAGAAAGUGAUGAAGAUUUGAGAUGGAGAAGAUGAUGAAGAUACAGAAUCGGUGGAGAGAGAGUUCAGAGAUUUUUUCUGUUAGAAGACCGAAGCUUUGGCUUGAAGAAUGAAGACUGGAAACGUGGGAAUUGAAGAUUGGAAUUUUUGUAUUAUAACUUGGACUUUUUUGAAUAUUUUUGCAAUCUAAAUUUGUUUGAAAUAGACUGUGGUAUCAAUAUAAUGUGGGCUUUUGAAUUAUUGUAAUGGACAUUGAUCUUUUUUAAUGAAUGGAGACUCUUUUGUGUAUUGAUUUUGUAUGAACAAUGAAUUUGGAUAGAAAUUAAAUGGGCUUUGUAUGGACUCUUGUUGUUAUUGUAACUCUUUGGGUUUUGUUGAAUUGGAAUGUAAUAACAUGAUUUUUUUUUGUAAUGAAACUUUUAUGACAAACGCUUGAUCUUUGCAAAUUCGAUAGUAUCGUCCAAUCAUUACAAGCAGCUUUCUUCUUCAAAAUGAAACCUUGGGUAUUUGAAUUAAUGAAUCUUCCAACUUGCACGUUGAGAACUUUGAACUAUAUCCCUUGAUUAAUUUGAACACAUUGAAUGUUUGAAAGGAUUUUGGAUAGAAUUUUAGACUUUAUAUGAAACCUUGACCUCAACUAGCCCCCUUGAAGCAAGCUAAAUGAUUCCAUACGAUUUUCUUGAAUUGCAACUUGAAGAAGUCCAUGAAUCAACCAUAUUUCAUGUUUUAACGCGCACAGAAGAACCGAUUAAAACAAACUUGA